rnacentral:rRNA from 1 species
UACGUAGGGGGCGAGCGUUGUCCGGAUUCAUUGGGCGUAAAGCGCCCGCAGGCGGCUGGCCACGUCGCGCGUGAAAUCGCCCGGCUCAACCGGGCGGGGCCGCGCGAUACGGGUCGGCUGGAGGCAGGGAGGGGGACGCGGAAUUCCGGGUGUAGUGGUGGAAUGCGUAGAGAUCCGGAGGAACACCGGUGGCGAAGGCGGCGUCCUGGCCCUGUCCUGACGCUCAGGGGCGAAAGCGUGGGGAGCGAUCCGG